GAAUGCAUGAGCCGGUGCCAAUCCGGUUGCUGUCAAGCACCUGCCAGUCCCCGGACACAGGUGUCUCGACAGCGCCGGAGCGGCUGAGAUUAUACGGCAGUAACUUGAUCUGGAUAAUACCAGCGAAAGGAUCAUGCUUCUUGUCUCU
rnacentral:ncRNA from 1 species